UGAGGAAUAUCGGACAAUGGGCGCAAGCCUGAUCCAGCCAUGCCGCGUGCAGGAUGAAGGCCUUCGGGUUGUAAACUGCUUUUGUACGGAGCGAAAAGGUCUGCCCUAAUACGGUGGGCUCAUGACGGUACCGUAAGAAUAAGCACCGGCUAACUACGUGCCAGCAGCCGCGGUAAUACGUAGGGUGCGAGCGUUAAUCGGAAUUACUGGGCGUAAAGCGUGCGCAGGCGGUUAUAUAAGACAGAUGUGAAAUCCCCGGGCUCAACCUGGGAACUGCCUUUGUGACUGCAUAGCUAGAGUACGGUAGAGGGGGAUGGAAUUCCGCGUGUAGCAGUGAAAUGCGUAGAUAUGCGGAGGAACACCGAUGGCGAAGGCAAUCCCCUGGACCUGUACUGACGCUCAUGCACGAAAGCGUGGGGAGCAAACA
rnacentral:rRNA from 1 species